GGGGGCGUGGGUUAGUUGGUCAGAGCAGGCGACUCAUAAUCGCCCGGCCGCUGGUUCGAGUCAAGCCGCCCCCA
rnacentral:tRNA from 1 species